GUGCUUUUAACUUCUGGUGACUUUCUUUAACAGGUGGAGAGAGAACAUGUGGAGUACAUGAGCUCAUCUGUAUUAGAAAAGUAUCUCCAGAGGCAGUUGGAUUUUUGUCAGCUGUUGGGGUGUUUAUUAUCUUGAUGCUGCUCCUUUUUCUCUAUAUUAAUAAGAAGUUCUGUUUUGAAAAUGUUGGCGGGUUUCCAGAUCUCAGAUCAGGAUAUGAUGCAAGGAAGAAUUCACAAGAUAAGAUGUGUAUAGAAUAAAAAAACCAGUAGUGUUUGAGGGGAAAAUGCUG
rnacentral:lncRNA from 1 species